CUUUACUAUAGCCUGGAAUUGGGUUCGGGCUUUUCUUGCGCAGUCUAGGUGGGAGGCUAUGAAGAUUUCCUUCCGGGGAAGUUGGAGCCAACAGUGAGAGACCACUCUGGAAAGGCUAGAAUCCUAAUGGUGAUCCUUGAAUCAGGACACUUGACAGUUUCAGGUGGGCAGUUUGUUUGGGGCGAACGCCUCAUAAAAGGUAACUGAGGCGCGCAAAGGUCCCCUCAGUCUGGACGGAAAUCAGACAUUGAGUGUAAAGGCAAAAGGGGGCUCGACUGCAAGACCUACAAGUCGAGCAGGAGCGAAAGCUGGCCUUAGUGAUCCGACGGUGCCGUGUGGAAGGGCCGUCGCUCAACGAAUAAAAGUUA
rnacentral:rRNA from 1 species